CCUACGGGAGGCAGCAGUGAGGAAUAUUGGUCAAUGGACGAGAGUCUGAACCAGCCAAAUAGCGUGAAGGAUGACUGCCCUAUGGGUUGUAAACUUCUUUUAUAUGGGAAUAAAACGUUCCACGUGUGGGAUUUUGUAUGUACCAUAUGAAUAAGGAUCGGCUAACUCCGUGCCAGCAGCCGCGGUAAUACGGAGGAUCCGAGCGUUAUCCGGAUUUAUUGGGUUUAAAGGGAGCGUAGGUGGAUUGUUAAGUCAGUUGUGAAAGUUUGCGGCUCAACCGUAAAAUUGCAGUUGAAACUGGCAGUCUUGAGUACAGUAGAGGUGGGCGGAAUUCGUGGUGUAGCGGUGAAAUGCUUAGAUAUCACGAAGAACUCCGAUUGCGAAGGCAGUUCACUGGACUGCAACUGACACUGAGGCUCGAAAGUGUGGGUAUCAAACAGGAUUAGAUACCCCUGUAGUC
rnacentral:rRNA from 1 species